CAGUCGCCGCGGGAAUACGUAGGGCGCAAGCGUUAUCCGGAAUUAUUGGGCGUAAAGAGCUCGUAGGCGGUUUGUCGCGUCUGCCGUGAAAGUCCGGGGCUCAACCCCGGAUCUGCGGUGGGUACGGGCAGACUAGAGUGAUGUAGGGGAGACUGGAAUUCCUGGUGUAGCGGUGAAAUGCGCAGAUAUCAGGAGGAACACCGAUGGCGAAGGCAGAUCUCUGGGCAUUAACUGACGCUGAGGAGCGAAAGCAUGGGGAGCGAACAGGAUUAGAUACCCCCGUAGUCCCUGUCUCUUAUAC
rnacentral:rRNA from 1 species